AUCUGAAAACCCUGUCCUCAGCCUUUGAUAAUUUCAGCUGUUUUAUGAAAGUCCUCCAUGUGGAUGAAAGUAUCAUCAAGCCGGAGCAAGAGUUUUUCAUUGCCCUAUUUGAGAAGAGCUGCGUGAACGACUUUUAUAUUCAGGAUAGAGAUACAUUCUUCAAUCCAGCCACCAGAAGCCACAUUUGCAACUUCAGCCUCCGUCAGAGGACCUCAGCUGCCCCAGCGAACAGGGCCUUCUGUACAGGGAAUGGGCUCCUCCUCGAAGCAUAGACAAGAAGCAGCCCUUAGAUCUCAUCAGGAAAUUCUAUGGAGAGACGGUUGGAAUCUACUUUGCUUGGCUGGGCUAUUACACUCAGAUGCUCCUCCUGGCAGCAGUCGUGGGGGUGACUUGCUUUCUGUAUGGAUAUUUUAAUCAAAAUAACUGUACCUGGAGGAUGAGGAAAAUGACACUCAGGGAGAGGAGGC